UAGUCUGCAACUCGACUACAUGAAGCUGGAAUCGCUAGUAAUCGCAGAUCAGAAUGCUGCGGUGAAUACGUUCCCGGGUCUUGUACACACCGCCCGUCACACCAUGGGAGUUGGGAAUGCCCGAAGUCAGUGACCCAACCGAAAGGAGGGAGCUGCCGAAGGCAGAUUCGAUAACUGGGGUGAAGUCGUAACAAGGUAGC
rnacentral:rRNA from 1 species